rnacentral:rRNA from 1 species
GACGAACGCUGGCGGCGUGCUUAACACAUGCAAGUCGAACGGAAAGGCCCUGCUUUUGUGGGGUGCUCGAGUGGCGAACGGGUGAGUAACACGUGAGCAACCUGCCCUUGACUUUGGGAUAACUUCAGGAAACUGGGGCUAAUACCGGAUAGGAGCUCCUGCUGCAUGGUGGGGGUUGGAAAGUUUCGGCGGUUGGGGAUGGACUCGCGGCUUAUCAGCUUGUUGGUGGGGUAGUGGCUUACCAAGGCUUUGACGGGUAGCCGGCCCGAGAGGGUGACCGGCCACAUUGGGACUGAGAUACGGCCCAGACUCCUACGGGAGGCAGCAGUGGGGAAUAUUGCACAAUGGGCGGAAGCCUGAUGCAGCAACGCCGCGUGCGGGAUGACGGCCUUCGGGUUGUAAACCGCUUUCGCCUGUGACGAAGCGUGAGUGACGGUAAUGGGUAAAGAAGCACCGGCUAACUACGUG